GGGGCAGUAGCUCAAUGGCAGAGUACCGUAGUUAUAAUUCGUUGUAUGCGAGUUCGAGUCUCGCCUGCUCCA
rnacentral:tRNA from 1 species